CUCCCGAUAGCUCAGUUUGGCAGAGCGAUGGACUGUAAUUGUAAAUCAUCUAUGAGAUCCACAGGUCGUGUGUUCGAUUCACACUCGGGAGA